UGGGGAAUAUUGGGCAAUGGGCGAAAGCCUGACCCAGCGAUGCCGCGUGAGGGAUGAAGGCCUUCGGGUUGUAAACCUCUGUCAGGAGGGACGAUGGGACUUUGUCUUGACGGUACCUCCAGAGGAAGCCCCGGCUAACUCCGUGCCAGCAGCCGCGGUAAUACGGAGGGGGCAAGCGUUGCUCGGAAUUACUGGGCGUAAAGGGUCCGCAGGCUGUCAGGCAAGUUGGUUGUGAAAGCUCAAGGCUUAACCUUGGAAUUGCAUCCAAAACUGCCUGACUAGAGUCCAAGAGAGGUUGGCGGAAUUCCCGGUGUAGCGGUGAAAUGCAUAGAUAUCGGGAGGAACACCAGAGGCGAAGGCGGCCAACUGGCUUGGUACUGACGCUCAGGGACGAAAGCGUGGGUAGCAAACCGGAUUAGAUACCCCCGUAGUCC
rnacentral:rRNA from 1 species